UACGUAGGUGACAAGCGUUGUCCGGAUUUACUGGGCGUAAAGAGCGCGCAGGCGGUCGAUCAAGUCGAGUGUGAAAGCCCCCGGCUCAACUGGGGAGGGUCAUUCGAUACUGAUCGACUCGAAGGCAGGAGAGGGUAGUGGAAUUCCCGGUGUAGUGGUGAAAUGCGUAGAUAUCGGGAGGAACACCCGUGGCGAAGGCGGCUCUCUGGGACGGUACUGACGCUGAGACGCGAAAGCGUGGGGAGCAAACAGG
rnacentral:rRNA from 1 species